rnacentral:tRNA from 1 species
GCGGGUGUGGUGAAAUUGGUAUACACGCUGGUCUUAGGAACCAGUGGCUUACGCCGUGGAAGUUCGAGUCUUCUCACCCGCACCA